rnacentral:tRNA from 1 species
GCGCCCGUAGCUCAACUGGAUAGAGCGUCGGACUUCGGAUCCGAAGGCUGGGGGUUCGAGCCCUCCCGGGCGCG